CGAAAUUCUCCUUCGUUUCUCCACCAAAUCGAUCGAGUAAGGCAUCAGAGGUCCAGCCGAUCAGCAGGAGGAACCUUCAAAGGGCCAAAUUAGCUCAGACCAUCUGUCGUAGAAGUGCACAGGAUCCACCACAGGGCCACUCUUAGCCUCCGCGCUUCAAAGUCAGGUAGGGUUUGUAGAAAAAUCCUUGAAAGCCCGUGAACUUUGGAAAAUUGCUCUGAUAUCGAGCUUUA